rnacentral:lncRNA from 1 species
ACUGGGCUUCCGGGCGGCCAUGUUUGUUAUCGCCGCGUCAUGCCGGGAGCAGUAGUCUUCCGGCACUGGGCUUCCGGGCGGCCAUGUUGCUUGGCAUGGCAUUCCGGGAGCGGUAGUCUUCCGGCACUGGGCUUCCGGGCGGCCAUGUUGCUUGGCAUGGCAUGCCGGGAGCAGUAGUCUUCCGUCACUGGGCUUCCGGGCCGCCCUUUUCGCGUGCACGGUAUGCUGGGAGGUGUAGUCUUCUCAGACGGGGCCACUGGGUGGCCAUGCUGCGCCUCUCGAGGUGGCGGGCAGGGGAGGCAGCUCCCUGCCAGGGGGGUUCCCACUACCCGGCCGCGCCUGGGGGUCGUGGCUUUGCUCAGGAUUGGGGCCGGUUAGGCAGCUGCUGGGAGGAGUGGCGGUGCUGGGAGGGCACGGUGYGGAGCUGUCCUGCUGUGCAGCACAAGGGAAAGUCGACCAGCACCGUUGCUGUCCGAGGWCCCUGGAACAGCCCGAGAGACCCUGGAACAGCCACCCCACGGACACCGUGUCACUGCCUCGCGAGGCCACUGCGUUCAGGAACAUCAUAUUCCUCCCGGCAAAGGAGCCCCGACGCUGACAACUCGCAGUAACACCCACCRUCAUCCCGCCAUAAAUGAACCACUGACCUAGGACCUACGGAGCAGCGGAAGGGUGAACAUAAUACUGGGAUAAGAGGUAGAAACUCUGAAGUGUAACAAUUUUAACAGUAUUAUUAUUAUUAUAAUUGAGUUUUUUUGGUGUAUAGAACCUUUCUUUUCAUGUAACAAUUUCUUCUGGACGAAUAACGAUCCUGCAUUUAGACCGUUAAGAUUCCCACUAUAUUAACACUAAAUUCUUGGCUUUAUAUGUAAGGUAUGUUUCCUCUUUGCCCAUAAACAAGAUUUUGAGCAUAACACUAUUAUUUAUUUUGAUCCUAGUAAUAUUAUAUGUUAACAUAUAGGCAAAAUAUCAUAAUUAACAAAUAAAAAAGUGUAAGUGGUUGAGAAUAUAGGCA